ensembl:lncRNA
CUGCUGAAAUCGGAUCCUGCUGAAUGCAGGUUGUCACUCACAACAGGUCCAACGGAAUCCCAGUCUGGGACUCAGGGCGUGUUAAGUAGCGCACCUGCGCCACGUGUGGACCAGAGAGUUUCCUUCCUCACUGGAGCAGCGAUAUGACGACCUGGUAUUAAAACUUUGUCUGCAGAGAGAAAAGAACGACUCAAUUUUUUGCCAGACUGGAGGAUGUUGGAGAGAGUCUGUUAAUCUCUCUGGACCUGAGAUUUGAAAACCUCCACCUCUCCUCACCCUCCCAGCCCACUGAUGUGAGGAAAUCCAGCUCUGAACAGAUUGAACUUCUAAAUCCCUCCUGGAAGCUUCACCCUGAACAGACAACUGCAACGUCGUGGUAACGGGCAGAUUACAGACCAAAGAACUACAGACUCUUCACAACCUGCUCAAACUCUUGGUACAGGACCUCACCACACGGGUCAAGAAAGUUUCUGUCUCAUUUCUACUCUGAAGAUCACCUUCUCCUGCUCAAAUUGCUGACAAAUGUUUCUGCUGCUCUAAAGUCUGGUCUCCAGAACUUCCUAUAAACUCUCAAAGUGUCUUCUGCUGCAGGUUGCUUUGUAGAACUGUUACAGAAAACCUCACUAAACCACAUGGAGGUGCCUCAAGAUAGUCGUCCAAAUGAAACCGUACAAAAACCAAACUAGCACAACCCAAACACUAAAGUCUCCUGCAGCCUACCAGAGAACCUCUGAGAACAGAGAAUCAGGACAGGAACUCUUACCUUCUGG